CUGCAGGUUUAUUUUAAGUUACAUUUGUUAUCUUGACUCUGUCCUUUAAGAAACGAUCUUUGUUUAAUAUGCCGUGAACACUCCUGGUCUUGCCGAGAAACAGUGUCUAGUUCAUUCUCAUGGUUCUUCUCCAGAUAGGACUGAUCCGGGUCAGACUGGCCCAGAGGGCAAAAAAGCAUUUGCUUCGAAAGCCCCAUCAAGAGGAAAAUCUUUCUACUGCCAGAGGGACUCUUCUGGGAAGCCUGAGUGGAGAGAGAGAAUGGGCAAGGGGUCAUCGAUGGACCGGAGAUGGGAUGGUAGGGACGGAAACUGCAGGGUCCGCAGAAGGAACUGCUCACCGAAAGCCAACAAGCUUGCCCUGUGGAAUCCCAGAAAGGCCCAGGAACUUCGGGACAUCACUGAAGGCAGAGUGAAGAGAGUCUGCCUUAUUUCAGGAAGAGAAGACAGAGAAAUGGAGGGGAGAAAACUAUUAAAAUAAGUAAUAAGAAAACUUUCCCCAGAAGUGCGGAAUCUGAAUUUCCAGUAUAAAAGGGUCCAUUGAGCGCCAAGAACAAUGAAGGAAAAAAGGUCCCACUCAGGCCUACGUAUCAUUGUGAAAUUUCAGAACUAGAGGGAUAAAGAAAAGAUCCUAAAAGCUUCCCGAGAGAUAAAAAAGAAGAUUUUUACAAAGGAUCAGCAAUCAGAAUUGCCUCAGACUGCUCAAUAAAAACAUCAGAAGCUAGAAGAAAAUAGAGCGAGGCAUCAAAAUCCUGAGGGAAAUGAUUCCCACCUAUAAUUUCAUAUUCUGCUCAAUUAUCAAUUGAGUAUUGAAGGGAAAUAAAGACAUUUUUAGACA